CUCAAGGCGAUUUACAGCAGUGUGGCUGGAGCCGUCUAUGUGGGCACCGCGGUUUGGUCGUGAGUGGAGGGAAUCAGAGUAGAGGGUGUUGAUUGAACCUGGAACCAUGGAUGUUGGCGAACUUCUGAGCUACCAGCCCAACAGGGGCACAAAACGUCCCCGGGAUGAUGAAGAGGAAGAGCUGAAGAUGCGUCGGAGACAAGCUGGUACUCGAGACCGUGGCCGCUUUCGGGAGGAGGAAAUGACUGUGGUAGAAGAAGCAGAUGAUGACAAAAAACGACUGCUUCAGAUUAUUGACAGAGAGGGUGAGGAGGAAGAGGAAGAGGAAGAACCACUGGAUGAAAGCUCAGUGAAGAAAAUGAUCCUUACAUUUGAAAAAAGAUCAUACAAAAACCAAGAGUUGCGUAUCAAGUUUCCAGACAAUCCAGAGAAGUUUAUGGAAUCCGAGCUGGACCUAAAUGACAUCAUUCAGGAGAUGCACGUGGUGGCCACCAUGCCAGACCUGUACCACCUUCUGGUAGAGCUGAAUGCUGUUCAGUCUCUCCUCGGGUUGCUUGGACAUGAUAAUACAGAUGUGUCCAUAGCUGUGGUUGAUUUGCUUCAGGAAUUAACAGACAUAGACACCCUCCAUGAGAGUGAAGAAGGUGCAGAAGUGCUCAUCGACGCUCUGGUGGACGGGCAAGUGGUAGCACUGCUUGUGCAGAAUCUGGAGCGUCUGGAUGAGUCUGUGAAAGAAGAGGCAGAUGGCGUCCACAACACUCUGGCUAUUGUGGAGAACAUGGCGGAGUUCCGGCCGGAGAUGUGCACAGAGGCUGCCCAGCAGGGUCUUCUGCAGUGGCUGCUGAAGAGGCUGAAGGCAAAGAUGCCCUUUGAUGCCAACAAACUGUAUUGUAGUGAAGUGCUGGCCAUAUUGCUCCAGGACAAUGAUGAAAACAGGGAAUUGCUUGGGGAGCUGGACGGAAUCGAUGUGCUUCUUCAGCAGUUAUCCGUGUUUAAAAGACACAAUCCUAGCACAGCCGAGGAGCAGGAGAUGAUGGAGAAUCUGUUUGAUUCACUCUGUUCCUGCCUAAUGCUCAGUUCCAAUCGUGAGCGCUUCCUGAAGGGUGAGGGUCUUCAACUGAUGAAUCUCAUGCUAAGAGAAAAGAAGAUCUCCCGGAGCAGUGCCCUGAAAGUGCUGGACCAUGCCAUGAUUGGACCUGAGGGCACAGACAAUUGCCAUAAGUUUGUUGAUAUUCUUGGCUUACGAACCAUCUUUCCCCUUUUUAUGAAAUCUCCAAGGAAGAUCAAGAAAGUGGGAACCACUGAGAAGGAGCAUGAAGAGCAUGUCUGUUCGAUCCUGGCUUCCCUCCUGCGGAACCUGAGAGGACAGCAGCGGACCCGGCUUCUGAAUAAAUUCACUGAAAAUGACAGUGAAAAGGUUGACAGGCUGAUGGAAUUGCAUUUUAAAUAUCUGGAUGCAAUGCAGGUGGCCGACAAGAAGAUUGAAGGGGAAAAACACGACAUGGUCCGGCGUGGAGAAAUCAUAGACAAUGACAUUGAGGAUGAGUUCUACCUCCGGCGCUUGGACGCAGGGCUUUUUGUUCUCCAGCACAUCUGCUACAUCAUGGCAGAGAUCUGCAAUGCCAACGUGCCCCAGAUUCGCCAGAGGGUUCACCAAAUCCUAAAUAUGCGUGGAAGCUCCAUCAAAAUUGUCAGGCACAUCAUCAAGGGUGGUCACAAAGCACUGAAGAGCCUUACCUUUUAUGAGGACGUUGUAGCCAGAUGCCCUGCCACGGCUGGGCUGCUUUGGAGAUUUUUUCCCCAAAGGAUGGGGAACAGGCAGGUCUCUCAGUAAAUCCUGCUGGAUCCACCUUCAGAAUACAUCUAAAAUCUGAAGACUUCUCACCUCUACCAUGACCUCCUUGGACCAAACCACCAAUCAAAUCACAUCUCCUUCCUUCUGCCCUUGCCACCUUCAAGAGUAUGCGGAGAACAUCGGGGACGGCCGGAGCCCCGAGUUCCGGGAGAGCGAGCAGCAGCGCAUCCUGGCCUUGCUGGAGAACUUCUAGCGGCCCCCGGCCCUGGGCCUCCCCCAGAGCCAGUUUUUACGGAGCUCGGUGUGACUGGUGGACAAAUAAAAGCUAGUUUGGGUA